GUAGCGAAGUUAGUGACGUCACACUGCCAAGAAAAGCUUCUAGCGUUUAAACAUACUCUACCCGUACCGCAAACCGACACAGGUAGUCGAGGCGAGUAGCCUCAGGUGAGCGAGAGAACUCUCGUUAAGGAACUCGGCAAAAUGACCCCGUAACUUCGGGAGAAGGGGUGCUGACUUUAAGUCAGCCGCAGUGAAUAGGCCCAAGCAACUGUUUAUCAAAAACACAGCUCUCUGCUAAAUCGUAAGAUGAUGUAUAGGGGGUGACGCCUGCCCGGUGCUGGAAGGUUAAGAGGAGUGCUUAGCGUAAGCGAAGGUAUGAAUUGAAGCCCCAGUAAACGGCGGCCGUAACUAUAACGGUCCUAAGGUAGCGAAAUUCCUUGUCGGGUAAGUUCCGACCCGCACGAAAGGCGUAAUGAUUUGGGCACUGUCUCAACGAGAGACUCGGUGAAAUUUUAGUACCUGUGAAGAUGCAGGUUACCCGCGACAGGACGGAAAGACCCCAUGGAGCUUUACUGCAGUUUGAUAUUGAGUAUCUGUACCACAUGUACAGGAUAGGUAGGAGUC
rnacentral:rRNA from 1 species